rnacentral:lncRNA from 1 species
AGAAGGCACAUGCUGGGUAGAGAUUAGGCAGCCCCAGGAAGAGGAGAAAAAAGAAAAAAAAAAAAACAUGUAAAAAGACCCAAAGCCCAAAGUUCACCAAACUGACGCUGAUCUCAUUUUGCAGAAGUCAGCCCGUUCUCCCCUCUCUGAGAGUGUUACUGUGCUUAAUAAGUCUCUUGCUGCUUUGCUACAUGUGUGUGUGUCACUUCCAAUUCUUUGUUAAAGACACCAAGAACCUGGGACUUCACAACACCAGCCGGUAACAAAGUCUCCCGGCAAACCCCUGGGUAACCCAAAGCCCAUCAGAGGGAUUCGCGUGCUGGGCUUUCCGCUACGUUAGGCCACGUCUCACUAUGGAGCGAGGAUCAAGAAGGUCCGGGAAGGAGAGAAGCUGCGGGGUCCAGGGAGACUCUUCGGCGGUUGGUCGGAGAGGUUUCAGCGGCCCAAGGAAAAGGGAAGCGUGUGGGAAUCUAUCCGCGUAGAGAUGAGGGGCGCGGCGGAGACAGUCCCACGCAGAGGUAUGCCCAAACACCGAGUUACUUAACCUCCUCAACCACCUUGGCAUCCGCGCCUUCCGUGGGCCCGUCGGUCUUCCGGGAGAGAUUCUGUGUCCCUGGUAUUGUGUGUCAACAGGUGUUAGCCUGAUAGUUAUAUUUUUAAUGAGAGAAAACGAACUACAGAAUUUGCGAGUUUUGCUUUUUUUCUGGUUUUGCUUUAUACCUCUUGGAUUCUCCUUCCAAAGGAUUCCAAUCUGAGGGGCAUUGAGGUGUGACUAUGGUAGACAAGGGGUGGUGAAUUUUCAUCCAAAAAUCUUUGGCGGAUUCCCUUGCUCUCCCGCUCCCCAGUCUAAGAGCAGUUUAAAACAGAAGAUCAGAAACAUUUGGAGAGUGUUUUUUUCUCUGCGUUCUAAUGAUAAACUUGAUUUAUUCAAUUCCAAAAGUUUCCUUAUUCUGAGGUUGUCUUUCCAUAUUUUGAGUAUAAAACCAUGGCCAUACUAUAUGUUGGACCCACGAAGGUUCUUCUCUUCACUUGUUUAUUUGUAAAGUCUCUUUGUAAUCUGAGAAUUUCUUGAGUAAACUGGGAACUGUUACACAUAA